GUGUGUCUCUUUACCAUUAAUGGUAAGAACCAGUAGCCACUGACGUCCUCUGAGGAUGAGUCCAACACGUACAUUCUACGUGAAGAAGAGCCAAGCAUUUAUUUCCAGGAUGACUAAGCAUGUACGCAUGUGUUUCUUGCUGUGAAAUUCUCUAAGGAGCUGCUUUGCCUGUACCUGUCAACAGAGUUGUCUGAGGAAGUGUGGUCAUAGCUGCCAUCCAGAGCCGCAGACUCCUACCCUUCGAGAGGAAAAGGCGAAGAUACCUUCCAGUAACCUAGAACCUUCUCAACACACUGCACUUGAAUUCGUACAUCAUCUGAGUCCUCGAAACUUGAUGGAAAUUCAUACUUUUUGAGAAUAUUAUUUGCCUUUUGAGAAAAUUCAGUCAGCAAUAAGGAAUACUGCAGCCUCCUGUGUGCUCCUCUGCAGGAAACACUUCGAUACACCCUGAGAUGGAGGAAAGCACAUUUUCUGCCAGGUGUAAUUUACAGCCACAUGCUUUACUACAAAGUGAGUAUUUCUCUCUACAAGUUCCCAAGCAAUAAGCCACGGACUUCCUCCGGGAUUUUUCCUGGAACUAGGCGUAUUGAUGAGUGAUGGUGGCCGCCUGCCCUCCCCUCCCCUCCCCUCACACACACACACGCACACACACACACACACAUGCAGAUGCUGUACUGAAUUCCUGGGGGAAUUCAGCUACGGUGUCGGGCAGUUCCUCCGAAGCCUGUAGCCUGAGAGGAUGUGGGGCUGCCACUAGCAACCAGAAGCCAGAACGGAGAACAGCAGGACCUCAAAACCUGUCCAAGAAAGUGUCCGAGACUUCCUACUUUGAAAGACAGCCCUGCUUUCUUUGAGUCCUGGACGCAGAGCAAAGGAUAAGAGGCUUUGUUUGUCCUGGGCCUCCAUCUCUUGCUCAGCAAACCAACGCCAAGAAGCGGACUGGGCACACUCACAGUGUGCAGUGCCCCUUCCUAAGCACCGUUUGGAAAGCCCAGAAGCUGCCUAACGCCUCUCCUUGUACACCUGCUUCACAAGCCACUUCUUCUGCGUGGCUGUGUGUGCCUUUCCAAGGUCAGAGUCACGUGAGCUGCCUCUCGCUGGAUGCUGCAAACCAUUGAGCUGGGCAGAAGUCACAGAAUGUCUUCCUUUCUUAAGCGCCACUUACAUAGACAAUAAGUACAGGACUAGGAUAAACUAUAUCUAGUCCUUUGAUCAUAAAAUUUUGCCAUUCAAAUUGAUCACGCCUGAUACUAAAUAUUCAAUAAUAGUUCCCCAAACCAAAAGAGCUAUGAAUUGCUUUUUUUCCAUACUCCAAGUUUUGGGAUACCACUGUAUCUUGUGAGAAGCACGUGUCCCCUCCUGCAGCUGAGUCGAGGGUGGGCAGCAUCGUGCCCCCCACACAGCCAGAAGAACAGCGCCGAGAUCUGGACUAACAGCUCUGCCUCACGCCAGCCCACAGCUUCCACCGGGACCUGAGCUUGACAUCUCAGGCCUCUGACCCACCAAUAAACUGAGUCCAUUUUAAUCAUUUCCACCCCCUCCCAUGUGUCCUGCUUGAGACGGACACAAAGAGGCAGACAAAUGACCUCCACAUUGGAUCUGAGCACUCAAAACAAUAAAGUUUAAUCUAAA
ensembl:lncRNA